CCGGGACGGGUAGGUAACGUAAACCCAACCUGCCGUCUACUCUUGGACAGCCUUCUGAAAGGAAGAUUAAUACAAGAUGGCAUCAUGAGUCCACAUGUUCACAUGAUUAAAGGUAUUCCGGUAGACGAUGGGGAUGCGUUCCAUUAGAUAGUAGGCGGGGUAACGGCCCACCUAGUCUUCGAUGGAUAGGGGUUCUGAGAGGAAGGUCCCCCACAUUGGAACUGAGACACGGUCCAA
rnacentral:rRNA from 1 species